rnacentral:rRNA from 1 species
AUUGAACGCUGGCGGCCGGCCUAACACAUGCAAGUCGAGCGGAUGACGGGAGCUUGCUCCUUGAUUCAGCGGCGGACGGGUGAGUAAUGCCUAGGAAUCUGCCUGGUAGUGGGGGACAACGUUUCGAAAGGAACGCUAAUACCGCAUACGAACUACGAGAGAAAGCAGGGGACAUUCAGGCCUUGCGCUAUCAGAUGCGCCUAGGUCGGAUUAGCUAGUAGGGGGGGUAAUGGCUCACGUAGGCGACGAUCCGUAACUGGCCUGAGAGGAUGAUCAGUCUCACUGGAACUGAGACACGGUGCAGACUCCUACGGGAGGCAGCAGUGGGGAAUAUUGGACAAUGGGCGAAAGCCUGAUCCAGCCAUGCCGCGUGUGUGAAGAAGGUCUUCGGAUUGUAAAGCACUUUAAGUUGGGAGGAAGGGCAGUAAGUUAAUACCUUGCUGUUUUGACGUUACCGACAGAAUAAGCACCGGCUAACUCUGUGCCAGCCGCCGCCGUAAGAC